rnacentral:rRNA from 1 species
AUUGAACGCUGGCGGCAGGCCUUACACAUGCAAGUCGAACGAGUGGCGGAAGGGGGAGUAAUGUCUGGGAAACUGCCCGAUGGAGGGGGAUAACUACUGGAAACGGUAGCUAAUACCGCAUACCAUCGGAUGUGCCCAGAUGGGAUUAGCUAGUAGGUGGGGUAACGGCUAACCUAGGAGACGAUCCCUAGCUGGGCUGAGAGGAUGACCAGCCAAACUGGAAUGGAGACACGGUCCAGACUCCUACGGGAGGCAGCAGUGGGAAAUAUUGCACAAUGGGCGCAAGCCUGAUGCAGCCAUGCCGCGUGUAUGAAUAAGGCCUUCGGGUUGUAAAGUACUUUCAGCGGGGAGGCGUUACUCGCAGAAGAAGCACCGGCUAACUCCGUGCCAGCAGCCGCGGUAAUAC